UGCAACAUAUGCAUUGAGGAUUACCGGGUC
rnacentral:sRNA from 1 species